UGCGAGGCCAGUAGUAUGCGCCUGCGGACUGUUAAUCCGUAUGUCACUGGUUCGAGUCCAGUCAGAGGAGCCA
rnacentral:tRNA from 1 species